rnacentral:tRNA from 2 species
GGCUGGGUAGCUCAGGUGGUUAGAGCGAGGGUCUCAUAAUCCCUAGGUCCGCGGUUCGAGUCCGCGCCCAGCCACCA